UUACGGUCAUAUCAUGUUGAAACACCAGUUCUCGUAUGACCAUUAAAGUUAAGCAACGUCGAGACUGGUCAAUACCGAGAUGGUUUACCGUUAGGGAAUACCAGGUGCUGUAAG